CAGUGGCUUGUCGCAACUUAAACUGCUUAGCAUCGAUUGGCUGCACUUAUUGACAUUUUAUGCUUAAGGACAUGCUUAAUAUCCACAACGUGCC
ensembl:snoRNA snoRNA:Or-ACA8 snoRNA:Orphan H/ACA box 8